UGGGGAAUAUUGCACAAUGGGGGAAACCCUGAUGCAGCCAUGCCGCGUGUGUGAAGAAGGCCUUCGGGUUGUAAAGCACUUUCAGUGGGGAGGAAGGGGCGAUGCCUAAUACGCAUCAUCAUUGACGUUACCCACAGAAGAAGCACCGGCUAACUCCGUGCCAGCAGCCGCGGUAAUACGGAGGGUGCAAGCGUUAAUCGGAAUAACUGGGCGUAAAGCGCACGCAGGCGGUUAGAUAAGUCAGAUGUGAAAUCCCCGGGCUCAACCUGGGAACUGCAUUUGAAACUGUCUGACUAGAGUCUUGUGAGGGGGGUAGAAUUCCAGGUGUAGCGGUGAAAUGCGUAGAGAUCUGGAGGAAUACCGGUGGCGAAGGCGGCCCCCUGGACAAAGACUGACGCUCAGGUGCGAAAGCGUGGGGAGCAAACA
rnacentral:rRNA from 1 species